CCAUGUCCUGAUUACUGCCUGCCCGCUCUUUGAGAUGUUUGUGGCUGAUUGCACUGGGAGAGAGGAUAUCGCUUUAGAUGGAGUACUGAGCUGUUCCUAUAUGCCCUUGACCAUUGAGGUGCUGUGGUUUAAUUGUGUGAAACUGAGUUUCAAGAUUCAAGAUACUUCUCAGAUUGUUCUGCAAUGAAUUCUUCAGAUUCAGCAGCUUCAGCACGAGGGAGCCCGUGGACGUUGAAUUAACCAGAUCUCUGCAGCUAUCACAUGAAAAACAGUUUCUUUCUUCUGUUUCCUUCAGACUUCCCAGCCUUGUUUACAGAAGUCAGUAUGAACAGUAACGGGCAUUCACAAAUGUGCUUUAGAGGAACCUUUGGGGAAGGUGUCUCAGAGUGCUUUGUCAUUUGCUGACAAACUGGUGCCAGGACCAGAACUUAAUGAA